rnacentral:lncRNA from 1 species
CCACCUCACAGAGGACGGAACUAGGCCACCAGACUGCAUCACAAAGCCCUCCUGUUUCAUAAGGUACAUGUAGUAGGGAAGCUCAUGUGGUGAUUCAGUCUGUAGAUGAGGGUGUUUUGAGCCUGGGACUGAAGAAGGUGUUGCCCUGGUGAGAAUGGUUAUAGCCAAAAGCGGAGAAAAAAAUUCUUGGGCUCGAAAUCUUUGAACAUUCAUCCAGCAUCCCAUCCUUUACCUCACUGGCAUGGGUUAAUCCAGUGCAGAAACAGCUUCAUCUUGUUAUCCAAGCCAACUUCUGGAGCUUCUGGAAGGAUGAUGCUCUUCCAAGCUGAGAAAUGAUCACAGACCAGACUAGCAGCUGGGAGACUGCAAAGAAGAAGAGAUUACCUUUUCA